GACGAACGCUGGCGGCGUGCCUAAUACAUGCAAGUCGAGCGGACAGAAGGGAGCUUGCUCCCGGAUGUUAGCGGCGGACGGGUGAGUAACACGUGGGUAACCUGCCUGUAAGACUGGGAUAACUCCGGGAAACCGGAGCUAAUACCGGAUAGUUCCUUGAACCGCAUGGUUCAAGGAUGAAAGACGGUUUCGGCUGUCACUUACAGAUGGACCCGCGGCGCAUUAGCUAGUUGGUGAGGUAACGUCUCACCAAGGCGACGAUGCGUAGCCGACCUGAGAGGGUGAUCGGCCACACUGGGACUGAGACACGGCCCAGACUCCUACGGGAGGCAGCAGUAGGGAAUCUUCCGCGGUGGACGAAAGUCUGACGGAGCAACGCCGCGUGAGUGAUGAAGGUUUUCGGAUCGUAAAGCUCUGUUGUUAGGGAAGAACAAGUGCAAGAGUAACUGCUUGCACCUUGACGGUACCUAACCAGAAAGCCACGGCUAACUACGUGCCAGCCGCCGCGGUAACAC
rnacentral:rRNA from 1 species